GUUGCAUGGACUUCGUAGGUUUACCAAUUUUUGGCGGGAAGUCAAGGGCUCUAGAGUGCCAUCGUCAUCUCUAAUGGCAACUGAAACAUAGCAGACACUGAACAAAUUUUAACAAAACAAAAAGGGUUUAGCUGCCCCUUGAGAAAGCUUCCCGACAUUUAGACAUCCCAACGAAAAUUCCCAGUAGCAAAACACCAAUGGAUGCGACGUGCAGGGCAAUGGAGCAGCUGCUGGCUGCAGUUGAGCUGAGUCGUAGCCAGAGCGAGGCCACCACACCAACGGCCACGACAACCAUAUCGAUCUGGAGCGCCCCCUCGCAAGGCAGUGGCUCCAGUUCCAUGGACCCUGUCUCCUUUCGGUUCCGCUUGGACGGGCAGCCCAUAUUGCCACCGCUGAUGACGAGCGCUAAGAGACGCGAGGUGCAGCUGGCCCGCCAGAUGGCGGAAAAGCUGGAGGAGCAGUACCGCCUGACCAGACACUCGGCGGGAUCCGACAUGGCCAGUCGGAGAAGUCUGUCGCAGCUGCAGCAGACAGAGACCCUCAUCUAUGACAGCACACGGGGCCAGGCUCGGCCGCAGACUCUGGUCUUGGGCAUACAGCUGCCCACCAUACACGUGGAUCCUCCCACGCCUCAGCCGCUUGUGCACCCAGUAGGCAACACUUCCCCAAGACGGCACAAUCGCAUUACCGAUCGUAUCCUGCAGUUCGAGCAGUCGGGUCUGGGUAAGCUGCUGCCCAAAGUUUCAGACAAGAGAAUCUUGCGCACAAGUCCUGCGUUAGCCGAAGACCAGCGAAAGCAGCAUCAUGAUACAGGGGCAAACAAGGUCGGAAGUCCAACCGCAGAACCAGCUAGUUUUCAGCGCUCGAGAAGUUUCACGCUGGAGGAGCCCUCCCAGGUUCUCGUAGAGCACAUGCAGAGGGAGGCACUGGCUCUGAAGCCCAGCCAGAGUUUGGCCAACUUCCAGAGGCAGACAAUCGAGUCUCAGGCCAAGCGGGUGAACCGUAGUGCUAGAAGCAUCAGCAGCAACAACAGCAACAAUAGUAACAAUAGCAACAAUAGCAACAAUAGCAACUCUAGCCGCACAACGAAGACCAUCGUCACUAGCACCACAGCCGCCGGUAGCAGCUGCUCCAGGCGGGAUCGCGAGGUGGAGCGUAUAAUAGAACGGGCAAUAGACGAGCACGGCGCUUUGGAAGCCAGUCGGAAGGCAGGAGUGCGUAACUAUCUGCGUGGCCAUCGGGAGCGGAUGAAUCAAUUGGUCAUCCACCAGGAGGAGGAACGUCGUCGCAUGCAGGCCCAGUUCUAUAAUCAGCAGCGGCAGCUUAUAGAGGAACUGUGUGCUGAAAUCGAUGUUACCUCGGGCACCGAAAAUCCAGACGGUCUCAUGUCGCAAAGCACCAGUACGGGAGACCUGCAGCGUUUCUCACCCGCGCCUACCAUGUCCCCCUUUUCAUAUGCCACGCCGCGCAGCUACCAGGAUGUGAAUGACUUUCUGCCGAUGGCGGAGGACAUGUGCCAAAUGGCGUCUCCUUCUUCCGUUCGGAAGAGGCUGUUUAGUCCGAAACUAACACAGGACUACGACUCGGAACCGCAGCCACUGGAGGAGGUCAGUGCUCCCAGCACACCGCGAUUAUUGCCCCUCAGGAACAGCAGCUUAACCAAUAGCAAACGAAGUGGCCAAGCUGUCCGGCGACGAUCGCAAACUGUUGGCAGUAGUCCCCGGAAAACGACCCCCCCUGCAGACCACGUGGUGAUGAAAUCACCAGCGAAGCCUGAUGGUGGAGCAGGACGACCGAAGAGUUCCCCGGUGAAAAAUAGCUCCACUACAGCGAAAAGGGGAAGCCCACAACCAAAAAGAGCAUCACCAAAAAGCGCCUCACCGCCCAAGCGACAGGGCAAUAAACACGUCGACCUGGAGCAGGAAGAGCGCCAGUGGGCGGCCACACGUAUUAAUGCAGCUGUGCGAGGAUUCUUGGUCCGACGGCUUUUUGCAACCGAGCAAGUGCAGCGAAUUGUCCAAACCAUCAGGGACACCCUGAUCUUCGUGUUGAACCUACACCUGGAAACUUGUGGACAUGGCCUGGAUGCAGAGGAGCCUGCAAACUUGCGCCUCAAGGCGCGCCUGCUUCAACAGCUCUGCUCCGCCAGUCGCACCCUGCACCUGAUCUUCUUCCAGACCAGCAUAAAGGACCGCAUGGAAAUCAUCGCCCGGGAUCGCAAGCGGAUCAAGACCAAACUGCUCCUCAAACAUCGCUGAUCCGACUCGCAGUCGGAAUUCGUAGGUUAGAUUGCUUGAUAACGGAAACGAUGAACGAAGCAUUCCUGUCCCAUCUUGGCACAUCUUAACUGUAUUUAGUACAGCUGAUUGGCAAAAGCACGCGUGGUUUUCUAUGUAGCCGAGCUUUCGAAACGGCGCACAGCUUUGUAGACGAAUUCGCCUUGAAAGCUGCGGCGGAACUAGGGAUGUCGUGAUAUUAAAAAAAUAUCGUAUAGAUAUUUUUUUUAUCAAAACUAAAUAAUGAUAAUAUAAAAAAUAUCUCAAAAAAAUAUUGAUAUAUAUUAUAAUAAUACGUUGUGUUUGUAUAAAUUUCAUAUAUUAAUGCUACCAGUACUUGGAAUAAUGUGAUUUUAGGAAAACUCGUUGUGUUAUAUGUGUGUCUGUCAUUAGGCUUCGUUCGUCACAGACUUCAUAUUUUGCAAAAACAUCGUAAUGCAUAUUCUAGAAAAUAUCGAUAUCGAUAUAUUGAUAUUUUGAUACAUUAUCAACAACCCUAGGCGGAUUGCCAAAACAAAUGAAAGUUUUGAAGCGAGUGGACGUGUGUUCGUGUGUUGGCUCUGAAAGAAAACAGCAAAGGCA